rnacentral:rRNA from 1 species
AAUGGGUCAGCGACUUAUAUUCUGUAGCAAGGUUAACCGAAUAGGGGAGCCGAAGGGAAACCGAGUCUUAACUGGGCGUUAAGUUGCAGGGUAUAGACCCGAAACCCGGUGAUCUAGCCAUGGGCAGGUUGAAGGUUGGGUAACACUAACUGGAGGACCGAACCGACUAAUGUUGAAAAAUUAGCGGAUGACUUGUGGCUGGGGGUGAAAGGCCAAUCAAACCGGGAGAUAGCUGGUUCUCCCCGAAAGCUAUUUAGGUAGCGCCUCGUGAAUUCAUCUCCGGGGGUAGAGCACUGUUUCGGCAAGGGGGUCAUCCCGACUUACCAACCCGAUGCAAACUGCGAAUACCGGAGAAUGUUAUCACGGGAGACACACGGCGGGUGCUAACGUCCGUCGUGAAGAGGGAAACAACCCAGACCGCCAGCUAAGGUCCCAAAGUCAUGGUUAAGUGGGAAACGAUGUGGGAAGGCCCAGACAGCCAGGAUGUUGGCUUAGAAGCAGCCAUCAUUUAAAGAAAGCGUAAUAGCUCACUGGUCGAGUCGGC